UACUUCUUGGUCAACUGUCUUAUUUUAAAUAUUUAAUUCUAUUUAUUUUUCGGGGAAUGAGGCAGUAGUAUAUAGAUUACUUUAAUCAAGUGUAUAACUAUAACUAGAUAGAAAAUUUUAGUAGUUAUAUGCAUAGUAUAAGCGCUUUUGAUUAAAUUCAUCUUAAAUUCUAAUAUGCGGGAAAAAUGAAUCUGAAAUCCCACACACAUACAUAAAGCCAAAACUAUCAGAUCGGAAGCAAAAACCGCGCUCACUGGGGUGUGUAUCCAGAGGGGCUCCUUCAGCCCAAGGGCUAUCAUAAAUCAAUCUUCCGAAUGUAGCAAAUGCAACAUACUUGGUUAUUCAACAGAGUGCCCAACUGAAUCCCAAAGACAUACAAAAACCCAAAAGACGAUAUAUCCGAAGCAAAAAUUCCAUAAGACAUACAAAUGAUGCCGUAGAUAUCCUACUAGUAAUAGUAAAUCAUCUCUUUAAUACAUGAAAAAUGGUUUAGAAGUAUGGACAAAUAUGUUACUUUCUUCCAAAUUGUUCCAACUCCUCCUCAGUUUCCUUCUGAUAACUUUUGAUGUAGCAUGUGAAGUUCUAAUGGCACAUAAAUUUACAACCAAAACUGAAAAGAACAAAUGGUAUAAGAUGCACAACUGUUUCCGUGUAUAUCAACAGCAAACACAAAAAGAAAAAGAAGCGAUUUGAGCUAAUUCCCUGUUGUUUCUCCAAUUAUUUAUGCACUUAGCUACCAAGUAACCUCAAUGAAUGGAAUGGCAAGAAUAUUUUGGGAUAGCCUCAUAUUUGUCACAUGCAAUACUAGCUAAUCAAAUUGUGAAACCUUGCUAUGCAAGCUUGCAAAAUAAGCAAUUAAUAUGUCACAUGCACCACUAAUCAAAUUGAGGAGAUUUACUUUUGUAGUACAUCGCAAAUGUUAUUUUAGUUAUAUAUGUCAUUAAGAGAAACAUAAUACAUGAGUUCUCGAAAAAUAUAAAGGAGAUCUUCCUGAAGUCAUUUUCUUCAAUUCAAAUUGUAAGCGAGAAUAGGAGAUCGUUUCAUUAUCAAAUUGUAUAACCAUGUCAUCCAAGAUUGAAAAAUUAAUGUCACGUGCACUACUAAUCAAACUAUAUAUACUUGUUAUCCAGUCCAGCAAACUAAGAAAUUAACAAGUAAUUAGUUCAUUACUUGAAUUACGUGUAGAACGCAAUUACCAAUAGGAAUACAACAAGAAAUAAUAAACAAUUCAAUCUUGUUAUAAACUAAAGCAAAAGACAAGAACAAUAGAACAAAAACAAUAGCAAUAGAGAGAAGA
rnacentral:lncRNA from 1 species